rnacentral:rRNA from 1 species
UGGUGGAGUGAUUUGUCUGGUUAAUUCCGAUAACGAACGAGACCUCAGCUUGUUAACUAGUGGUAGUAAGCUUCUAUAUGGGUGAAGCCGGAUCUUAUCGUAGGGCUCGGGAAACCGAGACCCUGCGGUUGUCCGGUGGAUCCUUGAUGUCUUGCUGCUGACAUAAAACUUCUUAAGGGACUGUUCACGUUUAGUGAAUGGAAGUGAGGCAAUAACA